GUGUGGAAUAUAUACUUUUCUAUCUUGACAUAUAAUCUUAUAUCUCUAAAUUUUUGUAAUACAUGACAAAUUUGAAGUUCAUAUUCUUCUAUAUUCUUAGAGUAGAUUAAAUUAUCAUAUAAGUAAUAAAUAAAAAAUUAUCAAAAAACUCAUAAGAAUUAUUAUUUAUAAGAUAUUAAAAAUAAUUUUGUAUAAUUAUGAAUUUCAAAAGCAUAAUAUUAU
rnacentral:lncRNA from 1 species